AGUGAAGCGGCAACAGCUCAAAUUUGAAAUCUGGCCCCCGUGGUCCGAGUUGUAAUUUGUAGAGGAUGCUUUUGGUGAGGUGCCUUCCGAGUUCCCUGGAACGGGACGCCACAGAGGGUGAGAGCCCCGUCUGGUCGGACACCACAACCUCUGUAAAGCUCCUUCGACGAGUCGAGUAGUUUGGGAAUGCUGCUCUAAAUGGGAGGUAUAUGUCUUCUAAAGCUAAAUACCGGCCAGAGACCGAUAGCGCACAAGUAGAGUGAUCGAAAGAUGAAAAGCACUUUGAAAAGAGGGUUAAAUAGUACGUGAAAUUGUUGAAAGGGAAGCGUUUGUGACCAGACUUGGGCCCGGUUAAUCAUCCAGCGUUCUUCGCUGGUGCACUUGGCCGGCCCAGGCCAGCAUCAGUUUGCCGCGGGGGAUAAAGGCUUCGGGAACGUGGCUCCUCUGGAGUGUUAUAGCCCGUUGCGUAAUACCCUGCGGCGGACUGAGGUUCGCGCAUCUGCAAGGAUGCUGGCGUAAUGGUCAUCAACGACCCGUCUUGAAACACGGACCAAGGAGUCGUCUUCGUAUGCGAGUGUUCGGGUGUCAAACCCCUACGCGUAAUGAAAGUGAACGGAGGUGGGAGCCUCGGCGCACCAUCGACCGAUCCUGAUGUUUUCGGAUGGAUUUGAGUAAGAGCAUACGGGGCCGGACCCGAAAGAAGGUGAACUAUGCCUGUAUAGGGUGAAGCCAGAGGAAACUCUGGUGGAGGCUCGCAGCGGUUCUGACGUGCAAAUCGAUCGUCAAAUAUGGGCAUGGGGGCGAAAGACUA
rnacentral:rRNA from 1 species